UACGUAGGUGGCAAGCGUUGUCCGGAUUUAUUGGGCGUAAAGGGAGCGCAGGCGGUGACUUAAGUCUGAUGUGAAAGCCCACGGCUCAACCGUGGAAGGUCAUUGGAAACUGGGUCACUUGAAUAUAGAAGAGGAAAGUGGAAUUCCAUGUGUAGCGGUGAAAUGCGUGGAUAUAUGGAGGAACACCAGUGGCGAAGGCGACUUUCUGGUCUAUUAUUGACGCUGAGGCUCGAAAGCAUGGGUAGCAAACAGGAUUAGAUA
rnacentral:rRNA from 1 species